rnacentral:tRNA from 1 species
GCACCCAUAGCUUAACUGGAUAGAGAGUCGCCCUCCGGAGGCGGAUACGGGGGUUCGAGUCCCUCUGGGUGUGCCA